UUCAAGUAAUCCAGGAUAGGCUGUAAUGUCUCCUGUCAGCCUAUUCUCGAUUACUUGGGUC
rnacentral:pre_miRNA from 1 species